GGCAUCUUGGAAAUGUAGUCUGCAUCAGGGAAGCUAUGAGCUCUGCUAAAGCUUGAGUGAUACUAAAAACAAGGAGAGAAUGGACACUGGGCAUCAUUCAUGGUACUUCUUGGGGGUGACUUCCCAAAUCAACUAUUUGUCCUGACAUCAUUGUCUCUGACUCUACUUCUGAUGAACUCAGACCAAGAAACCUGGGUUGAUUGGUUCUCCUUACUGUCUCCAGAGAGAAGAUCUGACAACCAAGGCAGAGGACUCCAAACUGGGAAAGAGCAGGAAGCUGCGUCUUAUUGUCACUGUAGUUCCAGCACCUGGCAUAGUACCACACACGGGACAGGUGGAUACGUGCCCAGAAAGUAUUCCAUUAGAUUGAGUUAAUUAAUUAAAGUGUAUUCUCUCAUCAACUUGCUGUGUGAUUUUGGGCAAGUCACUUUACCUCUCUGAGCCACAUUUUCACCAUCUCCAAAUACAUCACCUACUUAGAAGAUGAAAUGAGAUAACAGCUGUGAAUGAGCUUUGUGUUUCUAACACCUUCUGAAUCUUAAGGGGUGAAUGAUUAGAAAGCUGCCUCUUAUUCUUGUUGCUGCUUUUCGAAAUGCCCAAAUGGGAACAUUUUAAUGGCUAAAAGGCAGCACCAAUUUUCUCAUUGAAAUUCUUUUAUUCGACAAAGUGGAUAAUCUUAGUGGAAGGAAUAUACAUUAUAUUUUCUGUAAGAUGCAUUAAAGUUGUUUUCAUUUUGAAUUAAACAUGCUGUUUCUGAAUAUUUGUUCUGAAUUGGUCUUGUGCCAAAAAAAUAAAUAAAU
rnacentral:lncRNA from 10 species